AAACUAAACUAAGUCAAAAAUUUUCUUAGCCAACAAAAGACUUACUCAAACAUAAUUAUACACUAAUAUCAUGCUCAAAUACAUAUAUCUUAAGCCAAAAUAACUUAAAUAACACAUAGGACAAAAAGUCCUAAUUUUUAUUAAACUAAACUCUUUUGAAAAUAUCACUAAUCAUGUAUAACCUAUUGAUCAAAUCAUAGUUCUAACAUCCUAGGUUACCAAUUAGCACAAAUCAACAUCAUAAAACAAGAUCACAUAUAGAUACAUAUGUAUGUCAUCUUCUUCCUCAAACUAACACUUUUCAUUUUUCAUUUCUCAACCUCAAGCUUCAAUCUCAUCCAUCAUUAAUCAUCUAGAUCAUCUCAUAAACUCAAAUCCAUCAUCAAUACAUCAAUUGAUUCAUAGGAUCUCAACAUCCCAAUUUUAGGUAAACUAACCUAAUAGAAAAAUCUAUAUCUCAUGGCUAAUCAUCAAGAUAUUCAUAUAUAUUAACUCAAUAAUCAUCAAUCAUCAUAUAACUCAAGCCAAUUCAAGAAAACAAACAACAAAUUUCGUAGGGUUUCAAGCCCCUAAUUUUCGAAAAUUUCAUAGAAAUAAGUUGGGUGAUUUUCUUGCUCAAUCAUGAUCAUAUACUCACAUAUAACAUCAUACAAUCUAGAUCUAUAAAAAUA
rnacentral:lncRNA from 1 species